rnacentral:miRNA from 1 species
GCAUGAGGGGAGUCGAGCAGG